rnacentral:rRNA from 1 species
GAUGAACGCUGGCGGCGUGCCUAAUACAUGCAAGUCGAGCGAACAGACGAGGAGCUUGCUCCUCUGACGUUAGCGGCGGACGGGUGAGUAACACGUGGAUAACCUACCUAUAAGACUGGGAUAACUUCGGGAAACCGGAGCUAAUACCGGAUAAUAUAUUGAACCGCAUGGUUCAAUAGCGAAAGACGGUUUUGCUGUCACUUAUAGAUGGAUCCGCGCCGCAUUAGCUAGUUGGUAAGGUAACGGCUUACCAAGGCAACGAUGCGUAGCCGACCUGAGAGGGUGAUCAGCCACACUGGAACUGAGACACGGUCCAGACUCCUACGGGAGGCAGCAGUAGGGAAUCUUCCGCAAUGGGCGAAAGCCUGACGGAGCAACGCCGCGUGAGUGAUGAAGGUCUUCGGAUCGUAAAACUCUGUUAUUAGGGAAGAACAAAUGUGUAAGUAACUAUGCACGUCUUGACGGUACCUAAUCAGAAAGCCACGGCUAACUACGUG